UACGGGGGGGGCAAGCGUUGUUCGGAAUUACUGGGCGUAAAGGGCUUGUAGGUGGCCAACUAAGUCAGACGUGAAAUCCCUCGGCUUAACCGGGGAACUGCGUCUGAUACUGGAUGGCUUGAGUGUGGGAGAGGGAUGCGGAAUUCCAGGUGUAGCGGUGAAAUGCGUAGAUAUCUGGAGGAACACCGGUGGCGAAGGCGGCGUCCUGGACCAACACUGACACUGAGGAGCGAAAGCCAGGGGAGCAAACGGG
rnacentral:rRNA from 1 species